rnacentral:rRNA from 1 species
CUAAUCUGCGAUAAGCGUCGGUAAGGUGAUAUGAACCGUUAUAACCGGCGAUUUCCGAAUGGGGAAACCCAGUGUGAUUCGUCACACUAUCAUUAACUGAAUCCAUAGGUUAAUGAGGCGAACCGGGGGAACUGAAACAUCUAAGUACCCCGAGGAAAAGAAAUCAACCGAGAUUCCCCCAGUAGCGGCGAGCGAACGGGGAGGAGCCCAGAGCCUGAAUCAGUGUGUGUGUUAGUGGAAGCGUCUGGAAAGGCGCGCGAUACAGGGUGACAGCCCCGUACACAAAAAUGCACAU